UGAAAUAUCGAUUCUCGUAGGAUCACCGAAGUUAAGCAACGUCGAACCUGGUCAGUAACUAGAUUGGUGACCGCUUGGGAAUACAAGGUGUUGUAU
rnacentral:rRNA from 1 species